rnacentral:misc_RNA from 1 species
UACGGAGGGAGCAAGCGUUGUUCGGAAUUACUGGGCGUAAAGGGCGCGUAGGCGGCCUCGUAAGUCGCAUGUGAAAGGCCGGGGCUCAACCCCGAGCACUGCAUGCGAUACUGCCUGGCUGGAGAGAGGUAGGGGCGAGCGGAAUUCCCGGUGUAGCGGUGGAAUGCGUAGAUAUCGGGAAGAACACCUGUGGCGAAGGCGGCUCGCUGGACCUUUUCUGACGCUGAAGCGCGAAAGCGUGGGGAGCAAACAGG